rnacentral:rRNA from 1 species
AACGAACGCUGGCGGCGCGUCUUAACCAUGCAAGUCGAGCGGCAGGCAGCAAUGCCGAGAGCGGCGGACUGGUGAGUAACACGUGGAUAACGUACCCCGAUGUCCGGGACAGCCUGUAGAAAUAGAGGGUAAUACCGGAUAGAUCACUGUUUACGUGAGGUAGACAGCGGGAACGGAGCUUCUGCUCCGCGACGGGAUCGGUCUGCGGCCCAUCAGCUUGACGGCGGGGUAAAGGCCCGCCGUGGCGAGGACGGGUAUCCGGCCUGAGAGGGCGGACGGACACAUUGGAACUGAGAUACGGCCCAGACUCCUACGGGAGGCAGCGGGUGAGAAUAUUGCGCAAUGGGGGGAAGCCUGACGCAGCGAUGCCGCGUGAGCGAAGAAGGCCGGAAGGUUGUAAAGUUCUUUUCUGUGCGAGGAAUAAGUUUCGGAGAAAAUGCCGGGACGGUGACGGUAGCGAAGGAAUAAGCACCGGCUAACUACGUG